UGCUUCCCAUCAGCUUGAUGGUAGUGUAUUGGACAACCAUGGCAUUCACGGGCUAUCGGGGGAUUAGGGUUCGAUUCCGGAGAGGGAGCCUGAUAAACGGCUACCACUUCUACGGAAGGCAGCAGGCGCGAAAAUUAUCCAAUCCUGACUCAGGGAGGUAGUGAAAGAAAUAAUGAACUAGGAUUUAUCCUGGGAUCACAAUGGGCUUGAUUUGCAAACUUUACAUUUAGCGAGGAACAAUUGGAGGGCAAGUCUGGUGCCAGCAGCCGCGGUAAUUCCAGCUCCAAUAGAGUAUAUAAAUGUUCCUGCAGUUAUUCGAUGCUCGUAGUUGGAUUUCUGAAGUUGAGGUGGGAGGGUGGCUAUGGCCAUCGCCCAUCUCUUCCUUCAUCCACCUGUUAGCGAAUCCCGGGAUUGAUUUCUCGGUUUCGGGCUCAGGUAUCUUACCAUUUUCUAUAUUUGCAAUCUUCAUCGAUUAUGCAUUUUUUUCUUUGAGCAAAUUAUAGUGUUUCAGGCAGGCGUGCGCCGGAAUACAUUAGCAUGGUAUAAACGAAUUGGACCGUGUAUUCAUUAUUUGAAUUUUUCCUUAUUUGUUGGUUUGAAGGACACGGAGAUGGUUAAUAGGGACAGAAUUUAUUUCAGGGGGAGGCAUUAGUAUUUAAUUUCCAGAGGUGAAAUUCUUUGAAAUAUUAAAGACUAACUUAUGCGAAAGCAUUUAUUUGCCAAUGAUGUUUUCAUUAAUCAUUGAACGAAAGUUAGGGGAUCAAAGACGAUCAGAUACCGUCCUAGUCUUAACCAUAAACGUUGCCGACUAGGGAUCGGAGGGCGUGCACAUUCCGCCUUCGGCACCUUACGAGAAAUCAAAGUCUUUUGGGUUCUGUGGGUAGUAUGGUCGCAAGGCUGAAACUUAAAGGAAUUGACGGAAGGGCACCACCAGGAGUGGAGCUUGCGGCUCAAUUUGACUCAACACGGGAAAUCUUACCAGGUCCAGACAUAGCGAGGAU
rnacentral:rRNA from 1 species